UACGGAGGGUGCAAGCGUUAAUCGAGAUUACUGGGCGUAAAGCGCACGUAGGUGGUUUGUUAAGUCAGCUGUGAAAUCCCCGGGCUCAACCUGGGCACUGCAGUUGAAACUGGCAAGCUAGAGUAGGGUAGAGGGGUGUGGAAUUCCAGGUGUAGCGGUGAAAUGCGUAGAUAUCUGGAGGAACAUCAGUGGCGAAGGCGACACCCUGGACUCAUACUGACACUGAGGUGCGAAAGCGUGGGGAGCAAACAGG
rnacentral:rRNA from 1 species